rnacentral:rRNA from 1 species
GACGAACGCUGGCGGCGUGCUUAACACAUGCAAGUCGAACGGUAAGGCCCUUCGGGGUACACGAGUGGCGAACGGGUGAGUAACACGUGGGUGAUCUGCCCUGCACUUCGGGAUAAGCCUGGGAAACUGGGUCUAAUACCGGAUAGGACCACUGCCUGCAUGGGUGGUGGUGGAAAGCUUUUGCGGUGUGGGAUGGGCCCGCGGCCUAUCAGCUUGUUGGUGGGGUGAUGGCCUACCAAGGCGACGACGGGUAGCAGGCCUGAGAGGGUGACCGGCCACACUGGGACUGAGAGACGGCACAGACUCCUACGGGAGGCAGCAGUGGGGAAUAUUGCACAAUGGGCGCAAGCCUGAUGCAGCGACGCCGCGUGAGGGAUGACGGCCUUCGGGUUGUAAACCUCUUUCAGCACCGACGAAGCGCAAGUGACGGUAGGUGCAGAAGAAGGACCGGCCAACUACGUGCCAGCCGCCGCCGUAA